rnacentral:rRNA from 1 species
AACGAACGCUGGCGGCAGGCUUAACACAUGCAAGUCGAACGCAUCGCAAGAUGAGUGGCAGACGGGUGAGUAACGCGUGGGAACAUACCCUUUUCUACGGAAUAGCUCUGGGAAACUGGAAUUAAUACCGUAUACGCCCUACGGGGGAAAGAUUUAUCGGGGAAGGAUUGGCCCGCGUUGGAUUAGCUAGUUGGUGGGGUAAAGGCCUACCAAGGCGACGAUCCAUAGCUGGUCUGAGAGGAUGAUCAGCCACAUUGGGACUGAGACACGGCCCAAAUUCCUACGGGGGGCAGCAGUGGGGAAUAUUGGACAAUGGGCGCAAGCCUGAUCCAGCCAUGCCGCGUGAGUGAUGAAGGCCUUAGGGUUGUAAAGCUCGUUCACCGAUGAAGAUAAUGACGGUAGUCGGAGAAGAAGCCCCGGCUAACUUCGUGCCAGCCGCCGCCGUAACAC